CGGUCAGCUUUGCAGGGUGGGCAGUCAGCCUGGGUGCUUUGGAGCCGCUGUGCAAACCCAUGCAAAACUGACCGUGGCGCGAC
rnacentral:pre_miRNA from 10 species